rnacentral:rRNA from 1 species
ACUGCUCAGUAACACGUGGAUAACCUGCCCUUGGGUCCGGCAUAACCCCGGGAAACUGGGGAUAAUUCCGGAUAACGCAUAUGUGCUGGAAUGCUUUAUGCGUAAAAUGGAUUCGUCUGCCCAAGGAUGGGUCUGCGGCCUAUCAGGUAGUAGUGGGUGUAAUGUACCUACUAGCCGACAACGGGUACGGGUUGUGAGAGCAAGAGCCCGGAGAUGGAUUCUGAGACAUGAAUCCAGGCCCUACGGGGCGCAGCAGGCGCGAAAACUUUACAAUGCGGGAAACCGUGAUAAGGGGACACCGAGUGCCAGCAUCAUAUGCUGGCUGUCCGGGUGUGUAAAAUACACCUGUUAGCAAGGGCCGGGCAAGACCGGUGCCAGCCGCCGCGGUAACACCGGCGGCCCGAGUGGUGAUCGUGAUUAUUGGGUCUAAAGGGUCCGUAGCCGGUUUGGUCAGUCCUCCGGGAAAUCUGAUAGCUCAACUAUUAGGCUUUCGGGGGAUACUGCCAGACUUGGAACCGGGAGAGGUAAGAGGUACUACAGGGGUAGGAGUGAAAUCUUGUAAUCCCUGUGGGACCACCUGUGGCGAAGGCGUCUUACCAGAACGGGUUCGACGGUGAGGGACGAAAGCUGGGGGCACGAACCGGAUUAGAUACCCGGGUAGUCCCAGCCGUAAACGAUGCUCGCUAGGUGUCAGGCAUGGCGCGACCGUGUCUGAUGCCGCAGGGAAGCCGUGAAGCGAGCCACCUGGGAAGUACGGCCGCAAGGCUGAAACUUAAAGGAAUUGGCGGGGGAGCAC